rnacentral:misc_RNA from 1 species
GUGAAAGGCUGUUCAUAUGUAUUAAAGUCUACCUAGAAAGUGAUUUUUUUUUUUGUGGGUUUUUAUGGAAAUCCACAAUGCAUAAUGCUUUGUCUGAACUUGAAUGGUAUCUGAUACGUGUCAGAUGCACGAUUAUUCAUUUGCCAUAGGCUAUCCACUUCCUUGUAAUUAAUAGCAUACAAUUGCUCUCAGUCAAGUGUUUCUGUUAUGUGUGUGCUUAGCACUUGUGGUUGUGGGAGCUUUCCGAAGAAUGCUUGUGCCCUUCAGUGUUAAGAGAUUUUUUUUUUAAUAUCUCCUGCAAAAGCUUCUACUACUUUUUUAAAUUUGUGUUCCAUUUGUUGGAGGUAUAUUUAUUAAGUUAAUUAACUG